UACGGAGGGGGCUAGCGUUGUUCGGAAUUACUGGGCGUAAAGCGCACGUAGGCGGCUUUGUAAGUUAGAGGUGAAAGCCCAGGGCUCAACCCUGGAAUUGCCUUUAAGACUGCAUCGCUAGAAUUGUGGAGAGGUAAGUGGAAUUCCGAGUGUAGAGGUGAAAUUCGUAGAUAUUCGGAAGAACACCAGUGGCGAAGGCGACUUACUGGACACAUAUUGACGCUGAGGUGCGAAAGCGUGGGGAGCAACAGG
rnacentral:rRNA from 1 species